AUGGAAGUAAAAGUCGUAACAAGGUUUCCGUAGGUGAACCUGCGGAAGGAUCAUUAAUAAAUGGUCUACGUUUUUUAAGUAGACGCUUAAUAAUCCUACCCUUUGUGAAUUUGUUUGUUUUGAAAUAAUUUUUUUUAAAAUUAUUGAUUGUCUUUCCCUGUUGAAUAGAGUGUUUUCGAACAUGAAAUUCGCAGGGAGUGUCAGUAAUUUUUAAAAAGACCUUUUUUUAAAUUAAACUUUUGUAUUCAUUUGUCUAAAAUUAUUAUUUUUAUAAUAUAAAAACAACUUUUGACAAUGGAUCUCUUGGUUCUCGCAACGAUGAAGAACGCAGCAAAAUGCGAUAAGUAGUGUGAAUUGCAGAAUACGUGAAUCAUCGAAUCUUCGAACGCAUAUUGCACUUUUUUAGUUUACUAAAAAAGUAUGUCUGUUUGAGUAUCGGUAAAAUAUUCUCAUAAAAAACAUUGUUUUUUUAUGGUUAUGAGUGUUUUACAACGAUACAAGUUGUUUCACUUUAAAUUUUUUUAAAAUUUGAAUUUUUCUAAUUUUAAAAUAAAAUUGGAUAAAAUUUUCCCGUAAAAAAGGAAUAACCUAAACAACUUUAGUUUUUUGAUUAGAAUUUUUCAUUAUAAAGGAAAAUUUAAUAAAUAACUUGAUCUCAAAUCAGAUAAGAGUACCCGCUGAACUUAAGCAUAUCAAUAAGCGGAGGAAAAGAAACUAACAAGGAUUCCCUUAGUAACGGCGAGUGAAGCGGGAAGAGCUCAAAUUUGAAAUCUUCAAGGUUUUACCUUGACGAAUUGUAGUUUAAAGAAGUGUUUUCUGUUGAAGUUUUGGUAAAAGUUCUUUGGAAUAGGACAUCAUAGAGGGUGAGAAUCCCGUAUUUGACCAUUAUUCUCAGCUGUGUGAUACACUUUCAAAGAGUCGGAUUGUUUGGGAAUGCAGUCCAAAAUGGGUGGUAAAUUUCAUCUAAAGCUAAAUAUUGGCGAGAGACCGAUAGCGGACAAGUACCGUGAGGAAAGAUGAAAAGAACUUUGAAAAGAGAGUUAAACAGUACGUGAAAUUGUCAAAAGGGAAGCGUUUGACACCAGUGUUGUUUUCUCGAAAAUCAAUUAAAAAAAGUUGGAUUUUGUGUUGUAUUGACCUUAACAGCUUGCUUCACUCUUUUCCUGCUUUUUUUUAAUGCACUUUUCGUUUAACAAGUCAACAUCAGUUUCUUUUGUUGUAAAAGGGUCAUUGGAAGGUGGCUUUCUCUUCGGAGAAAGUGUUUAUAGCCUUUGAUCUCUGCAAUCGGAGAGACUGAGGUCUGCAGCGUAGAUCCUUCGGGGUUAGAUACAUUUGUGCUAAGCUACAGCUUUUCAUAGACAACUUGUUGACUAUGUUUAGUCUUGUGACUUACCCGCUUAUGCUAUUUUACCUACGCUUAGGAUGUUGAA
rnacentral:misc_RNA from 1 species